rnacentral:lncRNA from 1 species
UGAUCAGAGCGGUGGAAGUCAUCAAGAGAGGGUGCAAAGUUAGGGGAGGAUGGGAAUUCCUUGAUCAAGCAAUGACUCAAAACUUUCUUGAUCCCAGGCUGAGCUAUUAUAGCUCGACAUGCAGUACUUUUGGCCCUAAUUUUGGCUACUGCAAUUAGAGUUUAAUCUGUAACCAGCCUUAGGUCAAAUUGGCUCAAUUGCUUGAAAUGCACCCUUCAAACAAUGAUUGGAUCUAACUUUCAGCUAAACUUGCAGGGGUUCGAGUUGCAGGGUUCCAAAACUCUCAUGACAUCUACUAUUAGGCAUAUCAAUCAGUCAAUCAUAAAUCAGAAGUUAAUCAUUAACCAGAUGUUGAAUUUAUGUAGUUUUAACUUCGAAGAACUUGAGAUGCAUUCCUACAUAGCAGAAACCAAAUGGAAACCCUUGAUUGUGUCAUGAUGCAGCGGAAGGCUGAAUGGCUUAUAGACAUUUGUUAAUUCAAUAUUACUUUUGCAUUUGUUGUUUUCCUUUUGUUCAUAAUGGUUUCAGUCAGGGUCAGUGGAACCGACCCGAACCGGCCGGUUUCGGCCAUUCCGAGCCAUCUUGGUGGCUGAUCGGCACGGUUCCGGCAACGGACACGAAAUCUAUUGCCAGAGGGGGAGAAGAAGGAAAGAGAGAAAGAGAGAGAGCAAGCAGGGG